rnacentral:rRNA from 1 species
AACAGGAUUAGAUACCCUGGUAGUCCACGCCGUAAACGAUGAGUGCUAGGUGUUGGGGGCAUCAGGCCCUCUGUGCCGAAGGAAACCCAAUAAGCACUCCGCCUGGGGAGUACGGCCGCAAGGCUGAAACCCAAAGGAAUUGACGGGGGCCCGCACAAGCGGUGGAGCACGUGGUUUAAUUCGAAGCAACGCGAAGAACCUUACCAGGGCUUGACAUCCCGCUGACCGGUGCAGAGAUGCACCUUCCCUUCGGGGCAGCGGUGACAGGUGGUGCAUGGUUGUCGUCAGCUCGUGUCGUGAGAUGUUGGGUUCAGUCCCGCAACGAGCGCAACCCUUGCCCCUAGUUGCCAGCGGGUGAUGCCGGGCACUCUAGGGGGACAGCCGGUGAAAGCCGGAGGAAGGUGGGGAUGACGUCAAAUCAUCAUGCCCCUUAUGUCCUGGGCUACACACGUGCUACAAUGGCCGGUACAAUGGGCAGCGAACCCGCGAGGGGGAGCCAAUCCCAAAAAGCCGGUCUCAGUUCGGAUCGCAGGCCGCAACUCGCCUGCGUGAAGCCGGAAUCGCUAGUAAUCGCGGAUCAGCAUGCCGCGGUGAAUACGUUCCCGGGCCUUGUACACACCGCCCGUCACACCACGAGAGUCUGCAACACCCGAAGUCGGUGAGCCAACCCGCAAGGGAGGCAGCCGCCGAAGGUGGGGCAGAUGAUUGGGGUGAAGUCGUAACAAGGUAACC